GACGAACGCUGGCGGCGUGCCUAAUACAUGCAAGUCGAGCGAGCGGAACUAACAGAUUUACUUCGGUAAUGACGUUAGGAAAGCGAGCGGCGGAUGGGUGAGUAACACGUGGGGAACCUGCCCCAUAGUCUGGGAUACCACUUGGAAACAGGUGCUAAUACCGGAUAAGAAAGCAGAUCGCAUGAUCAGCUUUUACAAGGCGGCGUAAGCUGUCGCUAUGGGAUGGCCCCGCGGUGCAUUAGCUAGUUGGUAAGGUAAAGGCUUACCAAGGCGAUGAUGCAUAGCCGAGUUGAGAGACUGAUCGGCCACAUUGGGACUGAGACACGGCCCAAACUCCUACGGGAGGCAGCAGUAGGGAAUCUUCCACAAUGGACGCAAGUCUGAUGGAGCAACGCCGCGUGAGUGAAGAAGGUUUUCGGAUCGUAAAGCUCUGUUGUUGGUGAAGAAGGAUAGAGGUAGUAACUGGCCUUUAUUUGACGGUAAUCAACCAGAAAGUCACGGCUAACUACGUG
rnacentral:rRNA from 1 species